AUGCAAGUCGAACGGUGAAAGCGGAGCUUGCUCCGCUGGAUCAGUGGCGAACGGGUGAGUAACACGUGAGCAAUCUGCCCCUGACUCUGGGAUAAGCGCUGGAAACGGCGUCUAAUACCGGAUACGAGCUGCGAAGGCAUCUUCAGCAGCUGGAAAGAACUUCGGUCAGGGAUGAGCUCGCGGCCUAUCAGCUAGUUGGUGAGGUAACGGCUCACCAAGGCGUCGACGGGUAGCCGGCCUGAGAGGGUGACCGGCCACACUGGGACUGAGACACGGCCCAGACUCCUACGGGAGGCAGCAGUGGGGAAUAUUGCACAAUGGGCGCAAGCCUGAUGCAGCAACGCCGCGUGAGGGACGACGGCCUUCGGGUUGUAAACCUCUUUUAGCAGGGAAGAAGCGAAAGUGACGGUACCUGCAGAAAAAGCGCCGGCUAACUACGUGCCAGCAGCCGCGGUAAUACGUAGGGCGCAAGCGUUAUCCGGAAUUAUUGGGCGUAAAGAGCUCGUAGGCGGUCUGUCGCGUCUGCUGUGAAAACCCGAGGCUCAACCUCGGGCCUGCAGUGGGUACGGGCAGACUAGAGUGCGGUAGGGGAGAUUGGAAUUCCUGGUGUAGCGGUGGAAUGCGCAGAUAUCAGGAGGAACACCGAUGGCGAAGGCAGAUCUCUGGGCCGUAACUGACGCUGAGGAGCGAAAGGGUGGGGAGCAAACAGGCUUAGAUACCCUGGUAGUCCACCCCGUAAACGUUGGGAACUAGUUGUGGGGACCAUUCCACGGUUUCCGUGACGCAGCUAACGCAUUAAGUUCCCCGCCUGGGGAGUACGGCCGCAAGGCUAAAACUCAAGGAAUUGACGGGGACCCGCACAAGCGGCGGAGCAUGCGGAUUAAUUCGAUGCAACGCGAAGAACCUUACCAAGGCUUGACAUAUACGAGAACGCUGCAGAAUGUAGAACUCUUUGGACACUCGUAAACAGGUGGUGCAUGGAUGUCGUCAGCUCGUGUCGUGAGAUGUUGGGU
rnacentral:rRNA from 1 species